AUCCAGCUGACAAGUUCUGAAUAGGACGAAACGCUUGUCCUGGAU
rnacentral:hammerhead_ribozyme from 1 species